rnacentral:rRNA from 1 species
UACGUAGGGUGCAAGCGUUGUCCGGAAUUAUUGGGCGUAAAGAGCUCGUAGGCGGUCUGUCGCGUCUGCUGUGAAAACUCAGGGCUUAACCCUGAGCUUGCAGUGGGUACGGGCAGACUAGAGUGCGGUAGGGGAGACUGGAAUUCCUGGUGUAGCGGUGAAAUGCGCAGAUAUCAGGAGGAACACCGGUGGGCGAAGGCGGGUCUC